rnacentral:rRNA from 1 species
GAUGAACGCUGGCGGCGUGCUUAACACAUGCAAGUCGAGCGAAGCGGUUUUAAGGAAGCCUUCGGGCGGAAUUAAAAUUGACUUAGCGGCGGACGGGUGAGUAACGCGUGGGUAACCUGCCUCAUACAGGGGGAUAACAGUUAGAAAUGACUGCUAAUACCGCAUAAGCGCACAGUGCUGCAUAGCACAGUGUGAAAAACUCCGGUUGUAUGAGAUGGACCCGCGUCUGAGUAGGUAGUUGGUAGGGUAACGGCCUACCAAGCCGACGAUCAGUAGCCGACCUGAGAGGGUGACCGGCCACAUUGGGACUGAGACACGGCCCAAACCCCUACGGGAGGCAGCAGUGGGGAAUAUUGGACAAUGGGGGAAACCCUGAUCCAGCGACGCCGCGUGACUGAAGAAGUAUUUCGGUAUGUAAAGGUCUAUCAGCAGGGAAGAAAAUGACGGUACCUGACUAAGAAGCCCCGGCUAACUACGUGCCAGCAGCCGCAGUAACAC